GCGGAUUCACUAUGUUAUUCACAUGGUGAGACGAGGGGCUCAAAAGGGAACGCAAGCAAGGUGCACAUGCGGUUCGUGCCGCUCAAUGGAUACGAGACGCGAAGACGUCUGCUGAACAAGAUAGAAACUGAUGUUCUGAGGCUGGAACAACAUAGAAGGGACAGAUACAAACAAAGCCUCAAAUUGCCUAAGAAAUCAACGAUGAAAGAUGAAAGUCAUUGAAAAGGAGAUACCGC